rnacentral:rRNA from 1 species
AUGGCGUCCAAGGUAUCGGCUUCAUGUGGCCUCUUCCUUGCCCUUAACCUCCUCUUGUUUGCAGUGACCAGUGCCUGCCCAAGCUGCGGCGACUCGGGCAACAAUGGUGGCCACGGGAGCAGCGGCGGCGGGAGAGGUGGUGGCGGUGGAGGUGGCAGCGGCGGAGGAGGGCAUGGAGGCGGGGGUGGCGGAGGCCAUGGAGGCGGGUAUGGAGGAGGAGGCGGCGGCGGGACGAGCGGGUGGUACGGCAAGUGCCCGACGGACGCGCUGAAGCUGCACGUGUGCGCCAAUGUGCUGGAUCUGAUCAAGGCGAAGGUGGGCGUGCCUCCGUUGAACGACCGGUGCUGCCCGCUGCUCAACGGGCUCGUCGACCUGGACGCUGCCAUCUGCCUCUGCACCGCCAUCAAGGCCGACGUGCUAGGCAUCCACAUCAACCUUCCCAUCCACCUCAGCCUCAUCCUCAACUUCUGCGGCAAGGGCGUCCCGACCGGCUUCAUGUGCCCUAACUAA